CUCAGACUUAUCUGCGAGCACAACUUGAAUGACUAAGAUCAUAAAAUUGGUUGAAUGGGAUUUGGAGAUAACUUAAUUAGCACUAAACCUCUGUGCAUAAGUACUUUGCACAAUGUGUAGACAGGUCCACAGCAUCCUCUCCAAGAAGAGAUGAUUACCUCCAAUGGAAUGAAUCCACUGCUUGAUCAAGCAACAGUCUCUCUUCAAGUCCAAAGGUCUAUGAUGUUCUUUGACCUCUCUUUGAGAAAAGGUGAUCUGCUCCCCUCACCACUUCUAGAGGCAUAGCUCACACCUCAGUCCUAAAAGCUGGUAGAUAAACUAAGCUUUUAGCUGUUGGGAGAAAACCCUACAGACAGGGAACUGACAGAUUGAAAUUUGUUAGACUGCAUACUGAUUUUUAAUGAAGUUUCAGAGUAAUUCAUUGCUAUGAUCUUUAUGUCAGUCAUUUUUCUCUUCAUUUUGCCUCAGUUGGUCUUUUAAUGCUUUAGGCCCUCCAGAGUCUGUGAAAAUCCCUAGAAUUUUCUUUAGUACCAUUCAAACCAACUGGGGCUCUUCAGACAGAGUUUUGUGAAUAUAGUGAAUCAUGGGACAUGGUGCUGCCAGAUCGACCUUCUACUUUUCAGAACAGGAGCUGGAAGUGGGGGCAGUUAGCCAUGAACGAACUAGAAGAGGCUUCUUU
rnacentral:lncRNA from 1 species